AAUAUUAUUUAUCACAAAUAGUCGACCUUCUUUUCUUUUAACAUACUUUUAGUAAGCGAAGAGGCUUGAGGUCGGCAAAACCGGUCUAGUACUUCGAAAGAAUCAAUUUAGUUUUGUUACGGCACAAUGUCUCAUUCGAUAUUUUUUUCUAUUGUAAUUAUUUAUUAUUCUUUUCCAAUAACUGUAAAUGCAAGUGAAGUGUUAAGUGCUAAGGUAAACACCACAAUUAUUUCUUCAACAGUUCCUCCCAAUAUUAAUAUUCAAAAAACGUUAUUGCCUAUUAAGAUGUUUUUGCCAAUAGAAACAUCAAACAGGUUUCCACCAGCAUUAGAAUACUUUGUACAAAAAAUUCAAGCUUCUCAGUCGAACUAUAUUUACGAAGAUCUGAGCCGACCACCAACCCACGAUCGCCCUUCGUACACCCUUUCACCUGAAGACCAAAUUACUUUUGGUUUAGGUGAAAAUUCUACAAUACUACCUACUACCGCAGAGAAUUUAUUUUAUACUAUAAAAAAUGAAGAAAAUGAUGUGCAAAUGCAAGAAAAAUCAAACCAAACAUUAGAUUUUGAAUAUGAGGACGUAAGCAGUACUGGUGAAAUUUUAUUCGAAGCUAUCAUAAAUGAAACACAAAAAACAAGCUUAAAUAAUGAAACGAGAAAUACGACAUCUACUGCUAAGGAGAAAGAUUCUAUAAUAAAUUUAUCUCAUCUCAGUGAUAAAAAUAAUAAAGAAUAUAUUGAAUCUACAUAUAGUGUACCCUAUAUGGUAUAUAAUGAAAACCAAAAAUCUUCAAACAAGGAACAUGCGACAUAUUCGACCACUGAUAAAUAUAUUACAAGUAAUAAUCAGUAUUUCGCGUUGAAUAAAGUGACUACUUUAAAAUCGUCUACGGAUGUUAAUCAACAACUGUAAACUGUUUUAGCUUUUACUGGAUUGUCAAGAGGCUAUCCACAUCUGCACAUGCAAAUUAAGGGGUUAUUCAACCGUCCAGUUCAGCCAACAUCGUGCCCAUCUAUUUUCAGUCAGUACCCACAGACCAACAGGCAAUUCCUCAAAUAAGGGGUCCUUUCGAUUUUAUUGGUCAAUGGAUUCAGCAAACACCUUGGCUUCCAAUCCAAAUCAACGUGCCCGAUAUAUUUCAGAAUAUCGGAAACGGAAUAAAUCAAGUUGGCACGACGGUAUCUCAGUUUUCUCAAAAUGUUGGAAACGGGGUAUCGCAAUUUUCUCAGAAUGUCGGUAAUGGCUUAAGUCAGUUCUCACAAAAUAUAGGUAACGGCUUCACGACUUGGGCUCAAAACGUGCCGAUUUUAGAAAAUUUUAUUGACACUAAGAGAAAACCGGUAAUGACAACCAAUGGACAACAAAUAGGUGUACUGGUACCGAUAGAAUAUCCAGGUGGACAACAAUUGGUCUUGGCUAACGAGGCUUUUGAAGCUUUUCCAUAGUUGUUUGAAUUGUUUAGAAAAUAAAGUCUGAUUAUAUUAUUUUUUUAUUAUGGCGCGCUCAGACGAUUCGUGUAGGUACUUGACAAACAUUUGUAUAAAAAAAAUUGGUAUACAGGGUAUAUAGUGUGCAUAGGGCAUCUAUACCUGGAAUUUCUAAGACAUUUAUUAUAGUACCUACGCCGCACUCUCGCCGGACCCUGUAUGCCAAUAAAAAAUACUUGCCAAGUACACGAGUCGUCAGAAGGUUCAUUCUCACAGCAUCAGAAAACUGCCUAGAAUAGUUAACCGAAUUAAUAAUCUAUGUUUUUUGUUUACGACAUAUCUGUGACUUGGUGUAAUCAACUACAUUUGACAAGUUUCUGAGACUGGUUUGGAUGCUUGUGCGAACAAAUCUAGGGUCCGCCUUUGCAGAUACGGAGAUAUUUAUUUAAUAUUUAUUUAUUCUAUUUAUAUUUAAACUGUGUUUUUAAAAUUAAUAA